CCUACAGGGGGCUGCAGUGGGGAAUAUUGGACAAUGGGGGGAACCCUGAUCCAGCCAUGCCGCGUGUGUGAAGAAGGCCCUCGGGUUGUAAAGCACUUUCAGUGAGGAAGAACGCCUGGUGGUUAAUACCCAUCAGGAAAGACAUCACUCACAGAAGAAGCACCGGCUAACUCCGUGCCAGCAGCCGCGGUAAUACGGAGGGUGCGAGCGUUAAUCGGAAUUACUGGGCGUAAAGCGCGCGUAGGUGGCUUGAUAAGCCGGUUGUGAAAGCCCCGGGCUCAACCUGGGAACGGCAUCCGGAACUGUCAAGCUAGAGUGCAGGAGAGGAAGGUAGAAUUCCCAGUGUAGCGGUGAAAUGCGUAGAGAUCGGGAGGAAUACCAGUGGCGAAGGCGGCCUUCUGGACUGACACUGACACUGAGGUGCGAAAGCGUGGGUAGCAAACAGGAUUAGAUACCCUGGUAGUC
rnacentral:rRNA from 1 species